rnacentral:rRNA from 1 species
GUGGGGAAUCUUCCGCAAUGGACGAAAGUCUGACGGAGCAACGCCGCGUGAGUGAUGAAGGUCUUCGGAUUGUAAAGCUCUGUUAAUCGGGACGAAAGAGCCUAGUGUGAAUAAUGCUAGGAAGUGACGGUACCGGAAUAGAAAGCCACGGCUAACUACGUGCCAGCAGCCGCGGUAAUACGUAGGUGGCAAGCGUUGUCCGGAAUUAUUGGGCGUAAAGCGCGCGCAGGCGGAUCUGCCAGUCUGUCUUAAAAGUUCGGGGCUUAACCCCGUGAUUGGAUGGAAACUACAGAUCUAGAGUAUCGGAGAGGAAAGUGGAAUUCCUAGUGUAGCGGUGAAAUGCGUAGAUAUUAGGAAGAACACCAGUGGCGAAGGCGACUUUCUGGACGAAAACUGACGCUGAGGCGCGAAAGCCAGGGGAGCGAACGGGAUUAGAUACCCGGGUAGUCC